GGUUAAGCGACUAAGCGUACACGGUGGAUGCCCUGGCAGUCAGAGGCGAUGAAGGACGUGCUAAUCUGCGAUAAGCGUCGGUAAGGUGAUAUGAACCGUUAUAACCGGCGAUUUCCGAAUGGGGAAACCCAGUGUGUUUCGACACACUAUCAUUAACUGAAUCCAUAGGUUAAUGAGGCGAACCGGGGGAACUGAAACAUCUAAGUACCCCGAGGAAAAGAAAUCAACCGAGAUUCCCCCAGUAGCGGCGAGCGAACGGGGAGCAGCCCAGAGCCUGAAUCAGUGUGUGUGUUAGUGGAAGCGUCUGGAAAGGCGCGCGAUACAGGGUGACAGCCCCGUACACAAAAAUGCACAUACUGUGAGCUCGAUGAGUAGGGCGGGACACGUGGUAUCCUGUCUGAAUAUGGGGGGACCAUCCUCCAAGGCUAAAUACUCCUGACUGACCGAUAGUGAACCAGUACCGUGAGGGAAAGGCGAAAAGAACCCCGGCGAGGGGAGUGAAAAAGAACCUGAAACCGUGUACGUACAAGCAGUGGGAGCACGCUUCGGCGUGUGACUGCGUACCUUUUGUAUAAUGGGUCAGCGACUUAUAUUCUGUAGCAAGGUUAACCGAAUAGGGGAGCCGAAGGGAAACCGAGUCUUAACUGGGCGUUAAGUUGCAGGGUAUAGACCCGAAACCCGGUGAUCUAGCCAUGGGCAGGUUGAAGGUUGGGUAACACUAACUGGAGGACCGAACCGACUAAUGUUGAAAAAUUAGCGGAUGACUUGUGGCUGGGGGUGAAAGGCCAAUCAAACCGGGAGAUAGCUGGUUCUCCCCGAAAGCUAUUUAGGUAGCGCCUCGUGAACUCAUCUUCGGGGGUAGAGCACUGUUUCGGCAAGGGGGUCAUCCCGACUUACCAACCCGAUGCAAACUGCGAAUACCGGAGAAUGUUAUCACGGGAGACACACGGCGGGUGCUAACGUCCGUCGUGAAGAGGGAAACAACCCAGACCGCCAGCUAAGGUCCCAAAGUCAUGGUUAAGUGGGAAACGAUGUGGGAAGGCCCAGACAGCCAGGAUGUUGGCUUAGAAGCAGCCAUCAUUUAAAGAAAGCGUAAUAGCUCACUGGUCGAGUCGGCCUGCGCGGAAGAUGUAACGGGGCUAAACCAUGCACCGAAGCUGCGGCAGCGACACUAUGUGUUGUUGGGUAGGGGAGCGUUCUGUAAGCCUGUGAAGGUGUGCUGUGAGG
rnacentral:rRNA from 1 species